GCCGGGAUGGCGGAAUUGGUAGACGCACGGGACUCAAAAUCCCGCGCCGCAAGGCGUGCCGGUUCGAUUCCGGCUUCCGGCACCA
rnacentral:tRNA from 1 species